GUCCUCGUCGUUCAAUGGAUAGGAUGCUUCCCUCCGAAGGAAGCGAUUGUGGUUCGACUCCACACGAGGACA
rnacentral:tRNA from 1 species